rnacentral:rRNA from 1 species
GAUGAACGCUGGCGGCGUGCCUAAUACAUGCAAGUCGAGCGAACAGACGAGGAGCUUGCUCCUCUGACGUUAGCGGCGGGCGGGUGAGUAACACGUGGAUAACCUACCUAUAAGACUGGGAUAACUUCGGGAAACCGGAGCUAAUACCGGAUAAUAUAUUGAACCGCAUGGUUCAAUAGUGAAAGACGGUUUUGCUGGCACUUCUAGAUGGAUCCGCGCCGGAUUAGCUAGUUGGGAAGGUAACGGCUUACCAAGGCAACGAUGCGUAGCCGACCUGAGAGGGUGAUAGGCCGCACUGGAACUGAGACACGGUCCAGACUCCUACGGGAGGCAGCAGUAGGGAAUCUUCCGCAAUGGGCGAAAGCAUGACGGAGCAACGCCGCGUGAGUGAUGAAGGUCUUCGGAGCGUAAAACUCUGUUAUUAGGGAAGAACAAAUGUGUAAGUAACUAUGCACGUCUUGACGGUACCUAAUCAGAAAGCCACGGCUAACUACGUG